UCAAUAUAAAAUUGUUUAACAAUCAGUCUGAGACACGUGCACUGUUUCUUCUUCGUUUCUUCUUGCAGCCCUCCGCCGCAUAGCCUUUCGUUCUGAUAAACACUGUUUAUUUUCUAAUUCAAACUCCAGUUCUCAUAUUAUCACAGAGUUUACUCAGAAUUAAACUACCUACUAAAAAGAUUUAGUCAAGUGUUUUGGCCAUAUCUUUGGACGCUUCCAAAACAUUUAAAUACGCUUCCAAAUCAGAAACGUUCGCUUCCUCUACGCUUCCAAAUUCUGCUUUUUAAGAACGCGAUUCCGAACGAUUCCGGACACUUCCGGUUCUGGUUCCGCUUCUGAAGUGAGAAUCGAUGCUUGAGUGACGCUUCUGUGUAACGUAAUCUUCGAUUUCUUCUUGGUUUCUUCGUAAUUGUUUUUUUUUUUAAUUCAACACCAAACCGUAAAACAAAUAAAAAGUAACUAAACCGAAAUCAACAGUACCGUUUGGUUUAACUCAUUAGGGGUAUUUUCGUCAUAAAAAACCUUAACUGUCAAUCCAUGAGAAUCAAAUCUCAGUUUGUCAAAAGC
rnacentral:lncRNA from 1 species